rnacentral:rRNA from 1 species
CCUACGGGAGGCAGCAGUGAGGAAUAUUGGUCAAUGGACGAGAGUCUGAACCAGCCAAGUAGCGUGAAGGAUGACUGCCCUAUGGGUUGUAAACUUCUUUUAUAUGGGAAUAAAACGUUCCACGUGUGGGAUUUUGUAUGUACCAUAUGAAUAAGGAUCGGCUAACUCCGUGCCAGCAGCCGCGGUAAUACGGAGGAUCCGAGCGUUAUCCGGAUUUAUUGGGUUUAAAGGGAGCGUAGGUGGAUUGUUAAGUCAGUUGUGAAAGUUUGCGGAUCAACCGUAAAAUUGCAGUUGAAACUGGCAGUCUUGAGUACAGUAGAGGUGGGCGGAAUUCGUGGUGUAGCGGUGAAAUGCUUAGAUAUCACGAAGAACUCCGAUUGCGAAGGCAGUUCACUGGACUGCAACUGACACUGAGGCUCGAAAGUGUGGGUAUCAAACAGGAUUAGAUCCGAGUAGUC